UACGUAGGGACCAAGCGUUGUUCGGAUUUACUGGGCGUAAAGGGCGCGUAGGCGGCGUGUUACGUCAGCUGUGAAAUCUCCGAGCUUAACUCGGAACGGUCAGCUGAUACUGAUGUGCUAGAGUGCAGAAGGGGCAAUCGGAAUUCUUGGUGUAGCGGUGAAAUGCGUAGAUAUCAAGAGGAACACCUGAGGUGAAGACGGGUUGCUGGGCUGACACUGACGCUGAGGCGCGAAAGCCAGGGGAGCAAACGGG
rnacentral:rRNA from 1 species